rnacentral:ncRNA from 2 species
CUGCAAUGAUAUUUUACUGGAUUGUUUUCAGAAUAACGGAAGACGGUGAGAAUCCGUCGCGGUCCCGCCGCUGUAACCGGGGAUCUCCAGGACAUAAGGCCGAAAGGCCGGUCACUGAAAGUUAAUAACUUUUCGGGAAGACUGUCCAGGAGUGAUGAUCCGGAAGCCAGAAGACGAACUGGAAAUAAUACUGGAAU